rnacentral:rRNA from 1 species
GACAGAGGCCCCAAGCGUUAGGCGGAAUCACUGGGCUUAAAGCGUGUGUAGGCGGACGCCUAAGUGUCUUGUGAAAUCCCCCGGCUCACCCGGGGAACUGCUGGGCAUACUGGGCGUCUUGGGCCAACUAGGGGCAGCCGGAACAAGCGGUGGAGCGGUGAAAUGCGUAGAUAUCGAGAGGAACACCUGCGGCGAAGGCGGUUCUCUGGGCCUUACCUGACGCUGAGGAGCGAAAGCAUGGGGAGCAAACAGG